rnacentral:rRNA from 1 species
UACGUAGGUGGCAAGCGUUGUCCGGAAUUACUGGGCGUAAAGCGCGUGUAGGCGGGUGUCCAAGUCUGCUGUGAAAUCGCCCGGCUCAACUGGGCGGGGUCGGUGGAAACUGGUCACCUGGAGGACGGUAGAGGCAGGUGGAAUUCCCGGUGUAGUGGUGAAAUGCGUAGAGAUCGGGAGGAACACCAGUGGCGAAGGCGGCUUGCUGGGCCGGACCUGACGCUGAGACGCGAAGGCGUGGGGAGCGAACGGG